ACCGGCAAACGGGUGAGGAACAUGUACGCAACCUUCCUUUAACUGGAGGAUAGCCCCUCGAAAGAGGGAUUAAUACUCCGUAAUAUAAUGAAGUGGCAUCACUUUAUUAUUAUAGCUCCGGCGGUUAAAGAUGGGCGUGCAACUGAUUAGAUAGUUGGCGGGGUAACAGCCCACCAAGUCUGCGAUCAGUAACUGGUGUGAGAGCACGACCAGUCACACGGGCACUGAGACACGGGCCCGACUCCUACGGGAGGCAGCAGUAAGGAAUAUUGGUCAAUGGACGCAAGUCUGAACCAGCCAUGCCGCGUGAAGGAUUAAGGCCCUCUGGGUUGUAAACUUCUUUUAUAUGGGAAGAAAUGUACUUUUUCUAAAGUGCCUGACGGUACCAUAGGAAUAAGCACCGGCUAACUCCGUGCCAGCAGCCGCGGUAAUACGGAGGGUGCAAGCGUUAUCCGGAUUUACUGGGUUUAAAGGGUGCGUAGGCGGACAGGUAAGUCAGUGGUGAAAUCUCCGAGCUUAACUCGGAAACUGCCGUUGAUACUAUUUGUCUUGAAUAUUGUGGAGGUAAGCGGAAUAUGUCAUGUAGCGGUGAAAUGCUU
rnacentral:rRNA from 1 species